rnacentral:RNase_P_RNA from 1 species
GUGAGUUGGAGGUCGACUGCCGGCCGAUGCGGAUGAAGACCCUAUCCCCGAAAGGGAGGGGUUUUGAUUGAUGGCCGAGGAAGCUCCGCCCACCCGUUCAGGCAGCAUGGCGCCGAAAGGCGCUGGCUCGAGAGGGCCAGCCGGGGAUCAGAAACGAUAUCACCCUUCCCCUAGCGAUGCAAGCUCAAGGGAGGGUUGAUUGAAACGGCCCCGGACAUGUGGUGCAAGACCAAGUAGGCUGGAUGACGGCAGGACAGCGGGUAGGUCGCUCAGACGAAUGUCGACGGAGACCAUUAGGCGCAAGCCAAUGAUGGUCGAACAGAAGGCGGGCUACUCCCAACACAC